UACAGAGGUGGCAAGCGUUGUUCGGAUUACUGGGCGUAAAGGCGCGUAGGCGGCCUACUAAGUCAGACGUGAAAUCCCCCGCUUAACCUGGGAACUGCGUCUGAUACUGGAAGGCUUGAGGAUGGGAGAGGGAUGUAGAAUUCCAGGUGUAGCGGUGAAAUGCGUAGAUAUCUGGAGGAAUACCGGUGGCGAAGGCGGCAUCCUGGACCAUUAC
rnacentral:rRNA from 1 species